CCGGGGGUGCCCGAGGGGACAAAGGGGCCUGGCUGUAAACCAGGUGGCCGACGGGCCUUCGGUGGUUCGAAUCCACCCCCCCGGACCA
rnacentral:tRNA from 1 species